rnacentral:rRNA from 1 species
UGGGGAAUUUUGCACAAUGGAGGAAACUCUGAUGCAGCGACGCCGCGUGAGUGAUGAAGAUCUUCGGAUUGUAAAACUCUGUCCUUAGUGAAGAUAAUGACAGUAACUAAGAAGCAAGCCCUGGCUAAAUACGUGCCAGCAGCCGCGGUAAUACGUAUGGGGCAAGCGUUGUCCGGAAUUAUUGGGCGUAAAGGGUACGUAGGCGGUUUAAUAAGUCCUAAUUAAAAGGCUAUGGCUCAACCAUAGUAUGGUUAGGAAACUGUUGAACUUGAGUAGAUGAGGGGAAAGUGGAAUUCCAUGUGUAGCGGUGAAAUGCGUUGAUAUAUGGAGGAACACCAAUGGCGAAGGCAACUUUCUGGAAUCAAACUGACGCUGAGGUACGAAGGCGUGGGGAGCAAACAGG